rnacentral:rRNA from 1 species
GCACAAGCAGCGGAGCGUGUGGUUUAAUUCGAUGCUACACGAAGAACCUUACCAGGGUUUGACAUGCAAGUGGUAGGAAACCGAAAGGCGACCGACCCUUCGGGGAGCUUGCACAGGUGCUGCAUGGCUGUCGUCAGCUCGUGUCGUGAGAUGUUCGGUUAAGUCCGCUAACGAGCGCAACCCUCGCUGUGUGUUACAAGUGUCACACGGUACUGCCGGUCUUAAGCCGGAGGAAGGUGGGGAUGACGUCAAGUCAGCAUGGCCUUUAUGUCCUGGGCUACACACACGCUACAAUGGCCAACACAAUAGGUUGCUAAGCCGCGAGGUGGAGCCAAUCCUCAAAGUUGGUCUCAGUUCAGAUUGCAGGCUGCAACCCGCCUGCAUGAAGAUGGAGUUGCUAGUAACCGCAGGUCAGCUAUACUGCGGUGAAUACGUUCCCGGGGCUU